UACAGUUAAGGUGAGGGUUUUGGGUAAGUGUUACGGUUAGGGUUAGGUUUAGGGUUAGGGUUAGUGUUAAGGUUAGGUUUAAUUUUAUUGUAGGCUUAAAGUUAGGGUUAAGGUUAGGUUAGGGUUAGGGUCAGGGUUAGGAUUAGAAUUAGAAUUAGGUUUAGGGCGAGGGUUAGGGUCAGAGUUAUUUUAAGGGUUAGGUUUAGGUUUACAGGUGGGCCAAGGUUACGGUUAGGGUGAGGUUUAGGGGUAGGGUUAGGGUUAAAGUUAGGGUUAGCUUUAGGUUAGGGAUAGGGUGAAGUUUAAGACAGGGUGACGGUUAGGGUUAGGGUUAUGGCUAAGGUUUGGGUUUGUUUUCAGGUUAGUGUUAAGGUUAUGUUUAGGGUUAGGGUUAAGUUUAGGGGUUGUGUUUAGUUUUAGGGUUAGUGUUAGAUUUUAGGUUAGGGUUAAGUUUAGUGUUAUGGUUAGGGUUAGGGUUAUGGCUGUGUUAGGCGUUGUGGUUGGGGUGAGGGUUAGGUUUAGGGUUAGGGUUGGGUAGGGUUAGGAUUAUGGUUAUGGUAAGGUGUUAGGAGUUAGAGCUGUAGUUUAGGGUUAGGGUUUGGGGGAGGGUUCCGGUUAGACAUUGUGGUUCCGGUCAUGGUUAGGUUUGGUUUAGGGUUAGGGUUAGGUUUAUGAUUAGGUUUCGGGUUAGUGUUAGAGUUAAGGUUAAGGUUUUUGUUAGGCUUUGGUGUUGGUUAGGGUUAGGGUUAUCAUUAGGGCUCAGGGGUUUCAGGUUAGGGUUAGGGUUAGGGAUAGCAUUAGGUUUAGGUUUUGUGGGAUACGGUUAGUGGUUAGGGUGAGGGUUAUGGUUAGUUUUACCGUUAAGGUGAGAGUUUAGGGUAAGUGUUACGAUUAGGGUUAGAGUUAGAGUUAGGGUUAGGUUUAGAGUUAGGGUUAGGUGUAGGGUAAGAUUUAGGUUUAGGUCCAAGUUGAGGUUUAGAGUUAGUGUUCUAUUUAGGGUCAAGGUUAGAGUUAGGAUUAGGUCUAGGGUUAGGAUUAGGAUUAAGUUUAGGGUUAGGUUCAGGACUACUGUAAGUGUUCGUUCUAGGGUUACAGAUGGACUAGCAUUAUUGUUAGAAUUAGGUUUAAGGUUAGAGUUUGGGUUAGGUUUAGGUUAAGGUUACAGGUAGGGUUUGCAUGAAGUUUAGGAUAGGUUGUGGGUUAUUUUUAUAGUUAGGGCUAGAGUUUGGGUUUGUGUUCAGAUUAGUGUUAAGGUUAGGUUUAGGGUUCGGGUUAAGGUUAGGGGUUAUCUUUAGGGUUAGUGUUAGGUUAGGAUGAGGGUGAGUGUGAAGUUUAAGUAAAGGGUGAGGGUUAUGAUAAGGGUUAAGAUUAUAGAUGGUGUUAGAAGUGAGGUUUAGGAUGUUAAGGUUAGUUUUAUGGUUAGGGUAGGGUUAAGAUUAGGGUUAACAUUAGGGUUAGGGUUAGAUUAGGGUUACUGUUUGUAUUAGGGUUAGGGUUAAAGUUUGGCAUAGCGUUAGGUUUUGGGUUGGGGAUACGGUUAAGGGUUAGGGUGAGUCAGGUUUAGAGUUAUUGUUAGGGUUAGGGUUAUGGUAGAGUUAAGGUCAGGGUUAAGUUUAGGGUUAGAGUAAGGGUUAGGUUUAGGUCAGGGCUAGGACUAGGAGGAGGGAUAGGGUUAGGAUUAGGGAAAGGGUUAGGGGUUCAUGUGAGGGUUAGUGUUAGGUUUACAGUUAAGCUGAUGUUUUAGGGUGUUAUGGUUAGGUUUAAGCUUAGAGUUAGGGUUAGGCUAGAGUUAGGGGAUAGUUUCGGGUUAGGUUUAGUUUUAGGGUUAGGGCCAGGCUUAGGUUUAGGGCAAAGCUUAGGUUAAGGAUGAGGGUUAAGGUUAGGGUUAGGGUUAAGUCAUGGUUAGGAUUAGGGCUAUGUUAAGGUUAGAGAUAGGGUUAGGCUAAGGGUUGGGAUUAGGUUUAAAUGUUAGGGUGAAGGUUAGGAGUAGGUUUCCAUUUAAGCUGAGUGUGUCGGGUUAAGUUUACGGUCGGGAAUACUUUUAAGGUUUAGGGUGAGGGUUAGGCUUAGGUUUACAGUUAAGGUGAGGGUUUUGGGUAAUUGUUAUGGUUAGGGCUAGACUUAGAGUUCGGCUUAGGGUUAGGGUGAAGUUUCAGUUAAUAGUCAGGGAUAGGGUAAAUAUUAGAGUAGGGUUAAGGUUAGUGUUAGGGUUACGUAUAGGGUUAGGGUUCGGGUAGGGGUAAGGCUCGGUUUAAGGCUAGGUUUACGGAAAAGGGUAGAGCUAGUUUAGGGUUAGGUUUAGAGUUAGAGUUAGUGCUAGGGUUUAGGGUUAGGGUGAGGGUCAGGUUUAGAGUUCUUGUUAGGGUUAGGGUUAUGGUAGAGUUAAGGUUAGGGUUAAGUUUAGGGUUAGAGUAAGAGUUAGGUUUAGGUCAGGGUUCGGGAUAAGAUGAGGGAUAGGGUUAGGAUUAGGGAAAGGGUUAGGGGUUCGUGUGAGGGUUAGGGUUAGGUUUACAGUUAAGCUGAUGUUUUAGGGUGUUACGGUUAGGUUUAGGGUUAGAGUUAGGGUUAGGCUAGAGUUAGGGGAUAGUUUCGGGUUAGGUUUAAUUUUAGGGUUAGGGUCAGGCUUAGGUUUAGGGUGAAGUUUAGGUUAAGGAGGAGGGUUAAGGUUAGGGUUAGGGUUAGGCUUAGUGUUCGAGUUAGGUGUUUGGGUGAAUGGUAGGAUCAGGUUUAGGGUUAGGGUUAGUGUUCUGUUUAGGGUUAGGGUUAGGGUGAAGUUUAAGUUAAGGGUGAGGGUUGAGCUUAGGGUUAGUGUUAGGGGUUCGGGUUAGGGUUAAGGUUAGGAUUCAGUUUAGGGUUAAGGUUAGGUUUAGAGUUAGGGUUAGGAUAAGUGUUCGGGUUAAGUCAUGUUUCGGUUUAGGGGUAGGUUGAGGUUAAAGACAGGGUUAGGUUAAGGGUUGGUGUUAGGUUUAGAUGUUAGGGUGAGGCUUAGUGCUAGGUUUCCAUUUAAGCUGAGUGUGUAGGGUGAGUUUUAGGGUUAGAGUUGGAGUUAGGGUCAGGGUUAGGGUUAUCUUAGGGUUAGGGUCAGGUUUAUGGUUAGGAAUAGGGUUAGGGUCAGGGGUGGGGGUGAUUUAGUGUUAUGUUUCGGUUUAGGGUUAGGGUUAGGGUGAAGUAUAUUUAAGCGAGACGUUAGGGUUAGGGGUUAGGUUUCAGGUUAGGGUCAGGGUUAAGUUUAGGGUUAGGGUUAGGGUUAAGUUUAGUGUUAGUUUUGCUUAGGGUUAUGGUUGAAUGAAGUUAGGGUACAUUUAGGGUUAUGGUUAGGGUGAAAUUUUGUUUAAGGGUGAGGGUUCGCAUUAGGGUUAGGGUUAGAGUUAGGGUUAGUGGUUAGGGUUAGGCUUAGGGUUAAGGUUUAGUGUUAGAGUUAGGUGUUUGGGUGAAUGGUAGGAUCAGGUUUAGGGUUAGGGUUAGUGUUCCGUUUAGGGUUAGGGUUAGGGUGAAGUUUAAGUUAAGGGUGAGGGUUGAGCUUAGGGUUAGUGUUAGGGGUUCGGGUUAGGGUUAAGGUUAGGAUUCAGUUUAGGGUUAAGGUUAGGUUUAGAGUUAGGGUUAGGAUAAGUGUUCGGGUUAAGUCAUGUUUCGGUUUAGGGGUAGGUUCAGGUUAAAGACAGGGUUAGGUUAAGGGUUGGUGUUAGGUUUAGAUGUUAGGGUGAGGGUUAGUGCUAGGUUUCCAUUUAAGCUGAGUGUGUAGGGUCAGUUUUAGGGUUAGAGUUGGAGUUAGGGUCAGGGUUAGGGUUACCUUAGUGUUAGGGUCAGGUUUAUGGUUAGGAAUAGGGUUAGGGUCAGGGUUGGGGGUGAUUUAGUGUUAUGUUUAGGUUUAGGGUUAGGGUUAGGGUGAAGUAUAUUUAAGCAAGACGUUAGGGUUAGGGGUUAGGUUUCAGGUUAGGGUCAGGGUUAAGUUUAGGGUUAGGGUUAAGUUCAGUGUUAGUUUUGCUUAGGGUUAUGGUUGAAUGAAGUUAGGGUACAUUUAGGGUUAUGGUUAGGGUGAAAUUUUGUUUAAGGGUGAGGGUUCGCUUUAGGGUUAGGGUUAGAGUUAGGGUUAGUGGUUAGGGUUAGGCUUAGGGUUCAGGUUAAUUUUAGGCUAAGGAUUAGGGUUAGAGUUAGGGUUAGGGGUUAGUGUUUCAGUUAGGUUUAGGGUAGGGUUAUCAUUAGGGUUAAGUUUAGGGUCAGGGUAAGAGUUACGGUUACGUUUAAAGUUAACGUGAGGGUUUUGCGUAAGUGUUUCGGUUAGGGUUAGGGUUAGGUCUGGGUUAGGGUUAGAGUUAGUUUUAGGGGUUAGGGUUAGAUUUAAUUUUAUGGUACGCUUUAAGUUAGGGUUCAGGUUAGGUUAGGGUAAGGGUAAGGGGUAUAAUUAAGAUUAGGUUUAGGUUGAGGUUUUGGGUCAGAGUUAUUGUAAGGGUUAGGUUUAGGGUUACAGGUUUGCUAAGGUUAAGGUUAGGGUUAGGUUUAUGCGUAGGGUUAGGGUUAAAGUUAGGGUUAGGUUUAGGGUUGGGGAUAUGGUUAAGGGCUAGGGUGAUGGUUAUGGUGAGGUUUACAGUUAAGGUGAGGGUUUAGGUUAAUUGUUAUGGUUAGGGUUAGAGUUAGAGUUAGGGUUAGGGUUAGGAUGAAGUUUCAGUUAAUAGUGAGGGUUAGGGUUCAGGUUAGAGUUAGGGUUAAGGUCAGUGUUAGGCUUAGGUUAAGUUUAGGGUUAGAGUAGGGUUAAGGUUAGGGUUAAGGCUAGGUUUAAGGUAAAGCUUAGGGUUAGGUUAGGGUUAGGGUUAGGGUAAGGUUUAGAGUUAGAGUUAGUGCUAGGGUUUAGGGUUAGGGAUAGGGUCAGGUUUAGAGUUAUUGCUAGGUUUAGGUUUAGGGUUAGGGUUGGGGUAGAGUUACGGUUAAGGUUAAGUUUAGGAUUAGGGUAAGGGUUAGGUUUAGGUCAGGGUUAAGGUUAGUAUUAGGGAUAGGGUUACGGUUGUGGAAAGGCUUAGGGGUUCCUGUGAGGGUUAGUGUUAAGUUCACAGUUAAGCUGAUGUUUUAGAGUAUUACGGUUAGGAUUAGGGUUAGAUUUAGGUUUCGGUUUAGGGCUAGAGUCAGGGGAUAGUUUAUGGUUAAUUAAUUUUAGGAUUAGGGUUAGGUUUUGGUUUAGGGUGAAGUUUAGGUUAAGGAUGAGGGUUAAGGUUAGUGUGAGGGUUAGGUGUUUGGGUUAAUGUUAGGGUCAGGAUUAGGGUUAGGUUUAGGGUUAGGCUUAGGGUUCAGUUCAGGGUUCGGGUUAGGGUGCCGUUUAAGUCAAGGGUGAGGCUUGAACUUAGGGUUAGUGUUAGGGGUUAGGGUUAGGGUUAAAGUUAGGAUUAGGUUUAGGGUUAAGUUUAGGUUUCGGGUUAGGGUUAGGGUAAGUGUUAGGGUUAAGUCAUGGUUAGGAUUAGGGCUAUGUUAAGGUUAGAGAUAGGGUUAGGCUAAGGGUUGGGGUUAGGUUUAGAUGUUAGGGUGAAGGUUAGUAGUAGGUUUCCAUUUAAGCUGAGUGUGUCGGGUUAAGUUUACAGUUGGGGAUACUUUUAAGGUUUAGGGUGAGGGUUAGGCUUAGGUUUACAGUUAAGGUGAGGGUUUGGGGUAAUUGUUAUGGUUAGGGCUAGACUUAGAGUUCGGCUUAGGGUUAGGGUGAAGUUUCAGUUAAUAGUCAGGGAUAGGGUAAAUAUUAGAGUAGGGUUAAGGUUAGUGUUAGGGUUAGGUAUAGGGUUAGGGUUCGGGUAGGGGUAAGGCUCGGUUUAAGGCUAGGUUUACGGUAAAGGGUAGAGCUAGUUUAGGGUUAGGUUCAGAGUUAGAGUUAGUGCUAGGGUUUAGGGUUAGGGUUAGGGUCAGGUUUCGAGUUCUUGUUAGGGUUAGGGUUAUGGUAGAGUUAAGGUCAGGGUUAAGUUUAGGGUUAGAGUAAGGGUUAGGUUUAGGUCAGGGUUAGGGCUAGGAUGAGGGAUAGGGUUAGGAUUAGGGAAAGGGUUAGGGGUUCGUGUGAGGGUUAGUGUUAGGUUUACAGUUAAGCUGAUGUUUUAGGGUGUUACGGUUAGGUUUAGGGUUAGAGUUAGGGUUAGGCUAGAGUUAGGGGAUAGUUUCGGGUUAGGUUUAGUUUUAGGGUUAGGGUCAGGCUUAGGUUUAGGGUGAAGCUUAGGUUAAGGAGGAGGGUUAAGGUUAGGGUUAGGGUUAGGCUUAGUGUUCAAGUUAGGUGUUUGGGUGAAUGGUAGGAUCAGGUUUUGGGUUAGGGUUAGUGUUCCGUUUAGGGUUAGGGUUAGGGUGAAGUUUAAGUUUAGGGUGAGGGUUGAGCUUAGGGUUAGUGUUAGGGGUUCGGGUUAGGGUUAAGGUUAGGAUUCAGUUUAGGGUUAAGGUUAGGUUUAGAGUUAGGGUUAGGAUAAGUGUUCGGGUUAAGUCAUGUUUAGGUUUAGGGGUAGGUUCAGGUUAAAGACAGGGUUAGGUUAAGGGUUGGUGUUAGGUUUAGAUGUUAGGGUGAGGGUUAGUGCUAGGUUUCCAUUUAAGCUGAGUGUGUAGGGUCAGUUUUAGGGUUAGAGUUGGAGUUAGGGUCAGGGUUAGGGUUAUCUUAGGGUUAGGGUCAGGUUUAUGGUUAGGAAUAGGGUUAGGGUUAGGGUUGGGGAGAUUGAGUGUUCUGUUUAGUUUUAGGGUUAGGGUGAAGUUUAUGUUAAGCGUGACGGUUAUGGUUAGUGGUUAGGGUUCAGGUUAGGGUCAGCAUCAGGGCUAGGUAUAGGUUUAGGGUUAGGGUUAGGUUUAGUGUUAGUGUUAGUUUUGCUUAGGUUUAGGCUUUGAAUGAAGUAGGGUAGGUUUAGGGUUAUGGUUAGGGUUAGGGUUUGGAUGAAGUUUAGGAUAUGGUAAGGGUUAGUGUUACGGUUAGGUUUAGGGUUCAGGUUAGUGUUAGGGGUUAGUUAAGGGUUAGGGUUAGGGUUAGGUUUAGUGUUAGUGUGAUGUUUAGGUUAAGGGUGAAGGUUCGGAUAAAGUUUACGAUUAGGGUUAGGAUUAUAGUUAGUGUUAGAGGCCAGGUUUAGGGUGUUAGGGUUAGGUUUGUGGUAGGGUAGGGUUAAGUUUAGGAUUCGGGUUAGAGUCAGGGAUAGCUUUAGGUUAAAGAAUUUUUUUUUUUUUUUUAGGUUUAGGGUUGGGGAUACGGUUCGGGGUUAGGGUGAGGGUUAGGUUUACAGUUAAGGUGAGGGUUUAGGGUAAUUGUUAUGCUUAGUGUUAGGGUUACAGUUAGGGGAAGUUUCAGUUAAUAGUGAGGGUUACUGCUAAGUUUAGAGUUAGGGUAAGUUUAGUGUUAGGGUUAGGGUUAAGGUCGGGGUCAGGUUAGGGUUAAGGCUAGGUUUACGGUAAAGGGUAGGGCUAGGUUGGGGUUAGGGUUAGGUUUAGAGUUAGAGUUAGUGCUAGGGUUUACUGUUAGGGUUAGGGUCAGGUUUAGAGUUAUUGUUAGGGUUAGGGCUAGGGUUAGGGUAGAGUUAAGGUUAAGGUUAAGUUUAGGGUUAGGGUAAGGGUUAGGUUUAGGUCAGGGUGAGGUUUAGGAUGAAGGAUAGGGUUAAAGUUAGGGAAAGGGUUAGGGGUUCAUGUGAGGGUUAGUGUUAGGUUUACAUUAAGCUGAUGUUUUAGGGUGUUACUGUUAGUGUUAGUUUUAGAGUUAGGGUUACGGUUAGGGUUAGGUUUAGGGUUAGGGCUAGAGUUAGGGGAUAGUUAAGCGUGAGGUUUAGUAUUAGGGUUACGGUUAUGGUUAGGCUUAGGUUUAGGGUGAAGUUUAUGUUAAGGAUGAGGGUUAGGGUUAGGUGUUUGGGUUAAGGUUAGGGUUAGGUUUAGAGUUAGACUUAGUGUUAGGUUUAGGGUUAGUUGUUUGGGUCAAUGUUAGGGUCAGGUUUAGGGGUAGGGUUCGUUUUAGGGUUAGGGCUAUGGCUAGGGUGAAGUUUAAGUUCAGGGUGAGUGUUGAGCUUAGGGUUAGCGUUAGCGGUUAGGGUUAGGGUUAAGGUUAGGAUCAAGUUGAGGGUUAAGGUUAGGUUUAGAGUUAGGAUUAGGGUUAGUGUUAGGGUUAAGUCAUGGUUAGGUUUAGGGCUAGGUUAAAGUUAGAGAUAGGGUUAGGUUAAGGGUUGGGGUUAGGUUUAGAUGUUAGUGUGAGGGUUAGUGCUAGGUUUCCAUUUAAGCUGAGUGUGUAGGGUAAGUUUUAGGGUUAGGAUUAGGGUUAGAGUUAGAGUUAGGUUCAGGGUUAAGGUUAAGUUUAGGGUUAGGGUUAGGUUUAUGGUUGGGGUCAGGGUUGGGGGAGAUUUAGUGUUAUCUUUUGUUUUUAGGGUUAGGGUUAGGGUGAAGUUUAUUUAAGCGAGACGUUAGGGUUAGGGGUUAGGUUUCAGGUUAGGGUCAGGGUUAAGUUUAGGGUUAGCUUUUUUUUUUUAGGUUUAGGUUUAGGAUUAGGAUUAGGUUUAGUGUUAGUUUUGCUUAGGGUUAGGGUUUGAAUGAAGUUAGGGUAGGUUUAGGGUUAUGGUUAGGGUGAAAUUUUGGUUAAGGGUGAGGGUUCGGCUUAGGGUUAGGGUUAGGGGUUAGUGUUUCAGUUAGGUUUAGGGUAGAGUUAUAAUUAGGGUUAAGUUUAGGGUUAGGGUAAGAGUUAGAGUUAUGUUUACAGUUAAGGUGAGGGUUUUGGGUAAGUGUUACGCUUAGGGUUAGGGUUAGGUUUAGGGUUAGGGUUAGUGUUAGGGUUAGGUUUAAUUUUAUUGUAGGCUUAAAGUUAGGGCUAAGGUUAGGUUGGGGUUAGGGUCAGGGUUAGGAUUAGAAUUAGCUUCAGGGUGAGGGUUAGGGUCAGAGUUAUUUUAAGGGUUAGGUUUAGGGUUACAGGUGGGACAAGGUUAAGGUUAGGGUGAGGUUUAGGGGUAGGGUUAGGGUUAAAGUUAGGGUUAGCUUUAGGUUAGGGAUAGGGUGAAGUUUAAGACAGGGAGACGGUUAGGGUCAGGGUUAUGGCUGAGGUUUGGGUUUGUUUUCAGGUUAGUGUUAAGGUUAUGUUUAGGGUUAGGGUUAAGUUUAGGGGUUGUGUUUAGUUUUAGGGUUAGUGUUAGAUUUUAGGUUAGGGUUAAGUUUAGUGUUACGGUUAGGGUUAGGGUUAUGGUUGUGUUAGGCGUUGUGGUUGGGGUGAGGGUUAGGUUUAGGGUUAGGGUUGGGUAGGGUUAGGAUUAUGGUUAUGGUAAGGUGUUAGGGGUUAGAGCUGUAGUUUAGGGUUAGGGUUUGGGGGAGGGUUGCGGUUAGGCAUUGUGGUUCUGGUCAUGGAUAGGUUUGGUUUAGGGUUAGGGUUAGGUUCAUGAUUCGGUUUCGGGUUAGUGUUAGAGUUAGGGUUAAGGUUUGGGUUAGGCUUUGGUGUUGCGGUUAGGGUUUGGGUUAGGGUUAGGGUUAUCGUUAGGGCUCAGAGGUUUCAGGUUAGGGUUAGUGAUAGCAUUAGGUUUAGGUUUUGUGGGAUACGGUUAGGGGUUAGGGUGAGGGUUAUGGUUAGUUUUACACUUAAGGUGAGUGUUCAGGGUAAGUGUUGCGAUUAGGGUUAGAGUUAGAGUCAGGGUUAGGGUUAGGUGUAUGCUAAGAUUUAGGUUGAGGUCCAAGUUGAGGUUUAGAGUUAGUGUUCUAUUUAGGGUCAAGGUUAGAGUUAGGGUUAGGGUUAGGAUUAGGUCUAGGGUUAGGAUUAGGAUUAAGUUUACGGUUAGGUUCGGGACUAUUGUAAGUGUUCAGUCUAGGCUUACAGAUGGACUAGCAUUAUUGGUAGAAUUAGGUUUAAGGUUAGAGUUUGGGUUAGGUUUAGGUUAAGGUUAGAGUUAGGGUUUGGAUGAAGUUUAGGAUAGGUUGCGGAUCAUUUUUAUGGUUAGGGCUAGAGUUUGGGUUUGUGUUCAGGUUAGUGUUAAGGUUAGGUUUAGGGUUCAGUUUAGGGUUAUGGUAGAGUUAAGGUUAGGGUUAAGUUUAGGGUUAGAGUAAAGGUUAGGUUUAGGUCAGCGUUAGGGCUAGGAUGAGGGAUAGGGUUAGGAUUAGGGAGAGGGUUAGGGGUUCGUGUGAAGGUUAGUGUUAGGUUUACAGUUAAGCUGAUGUUUUAGGGUGUUACAGUUAGGUUUAGGGUUAGUGUUAGUGUUAGGCUAGAGUUAAGGGAUAGUUUAGGGUUAGGUUUAGUUUUAGGGUUAAGGUCAGGCUUAGGUUUAGGGUGAAGUUUAGGUUAAGGAUGAGGGUUAGGGUUAGGUAUUUGGGUUAAGGUUAGGGUUAGGCUUAGUGUUAGGAUUAGGUGUUUGGGUGAUUGGUAGGGUGAGGUUUAGGGUUAGGGUUAGGGUUAGUGUUCGGUUUAGUGUUAGGGUUAGGUUGAAGUUUAAGUUAAGAGUGAGGGUUCAGCUUAUGGUUAGCAUUUGGGGUUGCAGUUAAUGUUGGAUUAAGUUUAGAGUUAAGAUUAGGUUUAGAGUUAGGGUUAGGGUAAGUGUUCGGGUUAUGUUUAGCUUUAGAGGUAGGUUCAGGUUAAAGACAGGCUUAGGUUAAGGGUUGGUGUUAGAUUUAGAUGUUAGGGUGAGGGUUAGUGCUAGGUUUCCAUUUCAGCUGAGUGUGUAGGGUCAGUUUUAGGGUUAGAGUUGGAGUUAGGGUCAGGGUUAGGGUUAAGUUUAGGGUUAGGGUUAGGUUUAUGGUUAGGAAUAGGGUUAGGGUUAGGGUUGGGGGAGAUUUAGUGUUCUGUUUAGUUUUAGGGUUAGGGUUAGGGUGAAGUUUAUGUUAAGCGUGAAGGUUAGGGUUAGUGGUUAGGGUUCAGGUUAGGGUCAGGAUCAGGGCUAGGUAUAGGUUUAGGGUUAGGGUUAGGUUUAGUGUUAGUGUUAGUUUUGCUUAGGUUUAGGCUUUGAAUGAAGUAGGGUAGGUUUAGGGUUAUGGUUAGGGUUAGGGUUUGGAUGACGUUUAGGAUAUGGUAAGGGUUAGUGUUACGGUUAGGUUUAGGGUUCAGGUUAGUGUUAGGGGUUAGUUAAGGGUUAGGGUUAGGGUUAGGUUUAGUGUUAGUGUGAUGUUUAGGUUAAGGGUGAAGGUUCGGAUAAAGUUUACGAUUAGGGUUAGGAUUAUAGUUAGUGUUAGAGGCCAGGUUUAGGGUGUUAGGGUUAGGUUUGUGGUAGGGUAGGGUUAAGUUUAGGAUUCGGGUUAGAGUCAGGGAUAGCUUUAGGUUAAAGAAUUUUUUUUUUUUUUUUUUUAGGUUUAGGGUUGGGGAUACGGUUCGGGGUUAGGGUGAGGGUUAGGUUUACAGUUAAGGUGAGGGUUUAGGGUAAUUGUUAUGCUUAGUGUUAGGGUUAGGGUUAGGGGAAGUUUCAGUUAAUAGUGAGGGUUACUGCUAAGUUUAGAGUUACGGUAAGUUUAGUGUUAGGGUUAGGGUUAAGGUCGGAGUCAGGUUAGGGUUAAGGCUAGGUUUACGGUAAAGGGUAGGGCUAGGUUGGGGUUAGGGUUAGGUUUAGAGUUAGAGUUAGUGCUAGGGUUUACUGUUAGGGUUAGGGUCAGGUUUAGAGUUAUUGUUAGGGUUAGGGCUAGGGUUAGGGUAGAGUUAAGGUUAAGGUUAAGUUUAGGGUUAGGGUAAGGGUUAGGUUUAGGUCAGGGUGAGGUUUAGGAUGAAGGAUAGGGUUAAAGUUAGGGAAAGGGUUAGGGGUUCAUGUGAGGGUUAGUGUUAGGUUUACAUUAAGCUGAUGUUUUAGGGUGUUACUGUUAGUGUUAGUUUUAGAGUUAGGGUUACGGUUAGGGUUAGGUUUAGGGUUAGGGCUCGAGUUAGGGGAUAGUUAAGCGUGAGGUUUAGUAUUAGGGUUACGGUUACAGUUAGGCUUAGGUUUAGGGUGAAGUUUAUGUUAAGGAUGAGGGUUAGGGUUAGGUGUUUGGGUUAAGGUUAGGGUUAGGUUUAGGGUUAGACUUAGUGUUAGGUUUAGGGUUAGUUGUUUGGGUCAAUGUUAGGGUCGGGUUUAGGGGUAGGGUUCGGUUUAGGGUUAGGGCUAUGGCUAGGGUGAAGUUUAAGUUCAGGGUGAGGGUUGAGCUUAGGGUUAGCAUUAGCGGUUAGGGUUAGGGUUAAGGUUAGGAUCAAGUUGAGGGUUAAGGUUAGGUUUAGAGUUAGGAUUAGGGUUAGUGUUAGGGUUAAGUCAUGGUUAGGUUUAGGGCUAGGUUAAGGUUAGAGAUAGGGUUAGGUUAAGGGUUGGGGUUAGGUUUAGAUGUUAGUGUGAGGGUUAGUGCUAGGUUUCCAUUUAAGCUGAGUGUGUAGGGUAAGUUUUAGGGUUAGGAUUAGGGUUAGAGUUAGAGUUAGGUUCAGGGUUAAGGUUAAGUUUAGGGUUAGGGUUAGGUUUAUGGUUGGGGUCAGGGUUGGGGGAGAUUUAGUGUUAUCUUUUGUUUUUAGGGUUAGGGUUAGGGUGAAGUUUAUUUAAGCGAGACGUUAGGGUUAGGGGUUAGGUUUCAGGUUAGGGUCAGGGUUAAGUUUAGGGUUAGCUUUUUUUUUUUAGGUUUAGGUUUAGGAUUAGGAUUAGGUUUAGUGUUAGUUUUGCUUAGGGUUAGGGUUUGAAUGAAGUUAGGGUAGGUUUAGGGUUAUGGUUAGGGUGAAAUUUUGGUUAAGGGUGAGGGUUCGGCUUAGGGUUAGGGUUAGGGGUUAGUGUUUCAGUUAGGUUUAGGGUAGAGUUAUAAUUAGGGUUAAGUUUAGGGUUAGGGUAAGAGUUAGAGUUAUGUUUACAGUUAAGGUGAGGGUUUUGGGUAAGUGUUACGCUUAGGGUUAGGGUUAGGUUUAGGGUUAGGGUUAGUGUUAGGGUUAGGUUUAAUUUUAUUGUAGGCUUAAAGUUAGGGCUAAGGUUAGGUUGGGGUUAGGGUCAGGGUUAGGAUUAGAAUUAGCUUCAGGGUGAGGGUUAGGGUCAGAGUUAUUUUAAGGGUUAGGUUUAGGGUUACAGGUGGGACAAGGUUAAGGUUAGGGUGAGGUUUAGGGGUAGGGUUAGGGUUAAAGUUAAGGUUAGCUUUAGGUUAGGGAUAGGGUGAAGUUUAAGACAGGGUGACGGUUAGGGUUAGGGUUAUGGCUAAGGUUUGAGUUUGUUUUCAGGUUAGUGUUAAGGUUAUGUUUAGGGUUAGGGUUAAGUUUAGGGGUUGUGUUUAGUUUUAGGGUUAGUGUUAGAUUUCAGGUUAGGGUUUAGUGUUACGGUUAGGGUUAGGGUUAUGGUUGUGUUAGGCGUUGUGGUUGGGGUGAGGGUUAGGUUUAGGGUUAGGGUUGGGUAGGGUUAGGAUUAUGGUUAUGGUAAGGUGUUAGGGGUUAGAGCUGUAGUUUAGGGUUAGGGUUUGGGGGAGGGUUGCGGUUAGGCAUUGUGGUUCUGGUCAUGGAUAGGUUUGGUUUAGGGUUAGGGUUAGGUUUAUGAUUAGGUUUCGGGUUAGUGUUAGAGUUAGGGUUAAGUUUUGGGUUAGGCUUUGGUGUUGCGGUUAGGGUUUGGGUUAGGGUUAGGGUUUAUCGUUAGGGCUCAGAGGUUUCAGGUUAGGGUUAGUGAUAGCAUUAGGUUUAGGUUUUGUGGGAUACGGUUAGGGGUUAGGGUGAGGGUUAUGGUUAGUUUUACACUUAAGGUGAGUGUUCAGGGUAAGUGUUGUGAUUAGGGUUAGAGUUAGAGUUAGGGUUAGGGUUAGGUGUAUGCUAAGAUUUAGGUUGAGGUCCAAGUUGAGGUUUAGAGUUAGUGUUCUAUUUAGGGUCAAGGUUAGAGUUAGGGUUGGGGUUAGGAUUAGGUCUAGGGUUAGGAUUAGAAUUAAUUUUACGGUUAGGUUCAGGACUACUGUAAGUGUUCAGUCUAGGCUUACAGAUGGACUAGCAUUAUUGGUAGAAUUAGGUUUAAGGUUAGAGUUUGGGUUAGGUUUAGGUUAAGGUUAGAGUUAGGGUUUGGAUGAGGUUUAGGAUAGGUUGUGGGUUAUUUUUAUGGUUAGGGCUAGAGUUUGGGUUUGUGUUCAGGUUAGUGUUAAGGUUAGGUUUAGGGUUCGGAUUAGGGUUAGGGGUUAUGUUUAGGGUUAGCGUUAGGUUAGGUUUAGGGUGAGUGUGAAGUUUAGGUUAAGGGUGAGGGUUAUGAUAAGGGAUAGGAUUAUAGAUGGUGUUAGACGUUAGAUUUAGGCUGUUAGGGUUAGUUUUAUGGUUAGGGUAGGGUUAAGUUUAGGGUUAACAUUAGGGUUAGGGUUAGAUUAGGGUUACUGUUUGUAUUAGGGUUAGGGAUAAAGUUUGGCAUAGCGUUAGGUUUAGGGUUGGGGAUACGGUUAACGGUUAGGGUGAGGGUUAGGCUUACGUUUACAGUUAAGGUGAGGGUUUAGGGUAAUUGUUAUGGUUAGGGCUAGAGUUAGAGUUAGGCUUAGGGUUAGGGUGAAGUUUCAGUUAAUAGUCAGGGAUAGGGUAAAUAUUAGAGUAGGGUUAAGGUUAGUGUUAGGGUUAGGUAUAGGGUUAGGGUUCGGGUAGGGGUAAGGCUAGGUUUAAGGCUAGGUUUAUGGUAAAGGGUAGGGCUAGGUUAGGGUUAGGUUUAGAGUUAGAGUUAGUGCUAGGGAUUAGGGGUAGGGUUAGGGUCAGGUUUAGAGUUCUUGUUAGGGUUAGGGUUAUGGUAGAGUUAAGGUUAGGGUUAAGUUUAGGGUUAGAGUAAGGGUUAGGUUUAGGUCAAGGUUAGGGAUAGGGUUAGGAUUAGGGAAAGGGUUAGGGGUUCGUGUGAGGGUUAGUGUUAGGUUUACAGUUAAGCUGAUGUUUUAGGGUGUUACGGUUAGGUUUAGGGUUAGAGUUAGGGUUAGGCUAGAGUUAGGGGAUAGUUUAGGGUUGGGUUUAGUUUUAGGGUUAGGGUCAGACUUAAGUUUAGGUGAAGUUUAGGUUAAGGAUGAGGGUUAAGGUUAGGGUUAGGGUUAGGCUUAGUGUUAGUGUUAGGUGUUUGGGUGAAUGGAAGGAUCAGGUUUAGGGUUAGGGUUAGUGUUCAGUUUAGGGUUAGGGUUAGGGUGAAGUUUAAGUGAAGGGUGAGUGUUGAGCUUAGGGUUAGCGUUCGGGGUUAGGGUUAGGGUUAGGGUUAAGGUUAGGAUUAAGUUUAGGGUUAAGGUUAGGAUUAAGUUUAGGGUUAAGGUUAGGUUUAGAGUUAGGGUUAGGGUAAUUGUUCGGGUUCAGUCAUGUUUAGGUUUAGGGGUAGGUUCAGGUUAAAGACAGAGUUUGUUUAAGGGUUGGUGUUAGGUUUAGAUGUUGGGGUGAGGGUUAGUGCUAUGUUUCCAUUUAAGUUGAGUGUGUAGGGUCAGUUUUAGGGUUAGAGUUGGAGUUAGGGUCAGGGUUAGGGUUAAGUUUAGGGUUAGGGUUAGGUUUAUGGUUAGGAAUAGGGUUAGGGUUAGGGUUGGGGUGAUUUAGUGUUAUGUUUAGUUUUAGGGUUAGGAUGAAGUUUAUGUUAAACGUGACGGUUAUGGGUAGUGGUUAGGGUUCAGUUUAGUGUCAGGAUUAGGGUUAGGUUUAGGGUUAGGGUUAGGUUUAGUGUUAGUGUUAGUUUUGCCUAGGUUUCGACUUUGAAUGAAGUAGGGUAGGUUUAGGGUUAUGGUUAGGGUGAAAUUUUGUUUAAGGGUGAGGGUUCAGUUUAGGGUUAGGGUUAGAGUUAGGGUUAGUGGUUAGGGUUAGGCUUAGGGUUAAGGUUAGUUUUAGGCUAAGGAUUAGGGUCAGAGUUAGGGUUAGAGUUUAGUGUUUUGGUUAGGUUUAGGGUAGGGUUAUAAUUAGGGUGAAGUUUAGGGUUAGGCUAAGAGUUAGAGUUACGUUUACAGUUAAGGUGAGGGUUUUGCGUAAGUGUUACAGUUAGGGUUAGGGUUAGGGUUAGGGCUGGGUUAGGGUUAGAGUUAGGUUUAGGGGUUAGGGUUAGGUUUAAGUUUAUGGUAGGCUUAAAAUUAGGGUUAAGGUUAGGUUAGGGUAAGGGUCAGGGUUAUAAUUAAAAUUAGGUUUAGGGCGAGGGUUUGGGUCAGAGUUAUUGUAAGGGUUAGGUUUAGGGUUACAGGUGUGCUAAGGUUAAGGUUAGGGUUAGGUUUAUGGGUAGGGUUAGGGUUAAAGUCAGGGUUAGGUUUAGUGUUGGGGAUAUGGUUAAGGGCUAGGGUGACCGUUAGGGUUAGGUUUACAGUUAAGGUGAGGGUUUAGGUUAAUUGUUAUGGUUAGGGUUAGAGUUAGAGUUAGGGUUACGGUUAGGAUGAAGUUUCAGUUAAUUGUGAGGGGUAGGGUUAAGGUUAGAGUUAGGGUUAAGGUCAGUGUUACGGUUAGUUUAAGUUUAGUGUUAGGGUAGGGUUAAGGCUAGGUUUAAGGUAAAGCUCAGAGUUAGGGUUAGAGUUAGAGUUAGUGCUAGGGUUUAGGGUUAGGGUUAGGGUCAGGUUUAGAUUUAUUGCUAAGUUUAGGUUUAGGGUUAGGGUAGAGUUACGGUUAGGGUUAAGUUUAGGAUUAGGGUAAGGGUUAGGUUUAGGUCAGGGUUAGGGUUAGUAUUAGGGAUAGGUUUACGGUUGUGGAAAGGGUUAGGGGUUCCUGUGAGGGUUAGUGUUAGUUUCACAGUUAAGCUGAUGUUUCACAGUAUUAUGGUUAGGGUUAGGGUUAGGGUUAGAUUUAGGGUUAGUUCUAGGUUUCGGUUUAGGGCUAGAGUCGGGGGAUAGUUUAUGGUUAAUUAAUUUUCGGAUUUGGGUUAGGUUUAGGUUUAGGGUGAAGUUUAGGUUAAGGAUGUGGGUUAAGGUUAGUGUUAGGGUUAGGUGUUUGGGUUAAUGUUAGGGUCAGGAUUAAGGUUAGGUUUAGGGUUAGGCUUAGGGUUGAGUUCAGGGUUAGGUUUAGGGUGAAGUUUAAGUCAAGGGUGAGGAUUGAACUUAGGGUUAGGGUUAAAGUUAGGAUUAGGUUUAGGGUUAAGGUUAGGUUUAGGGUUAGGGUUAGUGUAAGUGUUAGUUUUAAGUCAUGGUUAGGUUUAGGGCUAUGUUAAGGUUAGAGAUAGGGUUAGGCUAAGGGUUGGGGUUAGGUUUAGAUGUUAGGGUGAAGGUUAGUAGUAGGUUUCCUAUUCAGCUGAGUGUGUAGGGUUAGGUUUAGGGUUGGGGAUACUUUUAAGGGGUAGGGUGAGGGUUAGGCUUCGGUUUACAGUUAAGGUGAGGGUUGAGGGUGAUUGUUAUGGUUAGGGUUAGAGUUAGAGGUAGGCUUAGGGUUAGGGUGAAGUUUCAGUUAAUAGUCAGGGAGAGGGUAAAUAUUAGAGUAGGGUUCAGAUUAGUGUUAGGGUUAGCUAUAGGGUUAGGGUUCGGGUAGGGGUAAGGCUAGGUUUAAGGCUAGGUUUACAGUAAAGGGUAGGGCUAGGUUAGGGUUAGUUUUAAAGUUAGAGUUAGUGCUAGGGUUUAGGGCUAGGGUUAGGGUCAGGUUUAGAGUUCUUGUUAGGGUUAGGGUUAUGGUAGAGUUAAGGUUAGGGUUAGAGUAAAGGUUAGGUUUAGGUCAGGGUUAGUGCUAGGAUGAGGGAUAGGCUUAGGGUUAGGGAAAGGGUUAGGGGUUUGUAUGAGAGUUAGUGUUAGGUUUACAGUUAAGCUGAUGUUUUAGGGUGUUACGGUUAGGGUUAGAGUUAGAGUUAGUUUUAGGCUUAGGCUAGAGUUAGGGUAGAGUUUAGGGUUAGGUUUAGUUUUAGGGUUAGGGUCAGGCUGAGGUUUAGGGUGAAGUUUAGGUUAAGGAUGAGGAGGGUUAGGGUUAGGUGUUUGGGUUAAGGUUAGUGUUAGGGUUAGGGUUAGGCUUAGUGUUAGGGUUAGGUGUUUGGGUGAAUGGUAGGAUCAGGUUUAGGGUUAGGGUUAGUGUUCGUUUUAGGGUUAGGGUUAGGGUGAAGUUUAAGUGAAGGGUGAGGGUUGAGCUUAGGGUUAGCUUUCGGGGUUAGGGUUAGGGUUAAGGUUAGGAUUAAGUUUAGGUUUAAGGUUAGGUUUAGUGUUAGGGUUAGGGUAAUUGUUCGGGUUAAGUCAUGUUUAGGUUUAGGGGUAGGUUCAGGUUAAAGACAGGGUUAGGUUAAGGGUUGGUGUUAGGUUUAGAUGUUAGGGUGAGGGUUAGUGCUAGGUUUCCAUUUAAGCUGAGUGUGUAGGGUCAGUUUUAGGGUUAGAGUUGGAGUUAGGGUCAGGGUUAGGGUUAAGUUUAGGGUUAGGGUUAGGUUUAUGGUUAGGAAUAGGGUUAGGGUCAGGUUUGGGGGAGAUUUAGUGUUAUGUUUAGUUUUAGGUUUCGGAUGAAGUUUAUGUAAAACUUGAUGGUUAUGGUUAGUGGUUAGGGUUCAGUUUAGGGUCAGGAUUAGGGUUAGGUUUAGGGUUAGGGUUAGGUUUAGUGUUAGUGUUAGUUUUGCUUAGGUUUAUCGUUUGAAUGAAGUAGGGUAGGUUUAGGGAUAUGGUUAGGGUUUGGGUUUGGAUGAAGUUUAGGAUAUGGUAAGGGUUAGUGUUACAGUUAGGUUUAGGGUUCAGGUUAGUAUUAGGGGUUAGUUAAGGGUUAGGGUUAGGUUUAUGUUUAGUGUUAGUGUGAUGUUUAGUUUAAGGGUGAAGGUUCGGAUAAAGUUUACGAUUAGUGUUAGGAUUAUAGUUAGUGUUAGAGGCUAGGUUUAGGGUGUUAGGGUUAGGUUUAUGGUAGUGUAGGCUUAAGUUUAGGGUUAGGGUUAGGGUUAGGGAUAGCUUUAGGUUUAGGGUUGGGGGAUACGGUUCGGGGUUAGGGUGUGGGUUGGGGUUAGGGUGAGGGUUAGGUUUACAGUUAAGGUGAGGGUUUAGGGUAAUUGUUAUGCUUAGUGUUAGAGUUAGGGUUAGGGUUAGGGGAAGUUUCAGUUAAUAGUGAGGGCUAGGGCUAAGUUUAGAGUUAGUAUAAGGUUAGUGUUAGGGUUAGGGUUAGAUUCGGGGUCAGGUUAGGGUUAAGGCUAGGUUUAUGGUAAAGAGUAGGGCUAGGUUGGGGUUAGGGUUAGGUUUAGAGUUAGAAUUAGUGCUAGGGUUUACUGUUAGGGUUAGGGUCAGGUUUAGAGUGAUUGUUAGGGUUAGGGUAGAGUUAAUUUUAAAGUUAUGUUUAGGGUUAGGGUAAGGGUUAGAUUUAGGUCAGGGUUAGAGUUAGGAUGAAGGAUAGGGUUAAAGUUAGGGAAAAGGUUAGGGGUUCAUGUGAGGGUUAGUUUUAGGUUUACAUUUAGCUGAUGUUUUAGGGUGUUAGUGUUAGUUUUAGAGUUAGGGUUACGGUUAGUGUUAGGUUUAGGGUUAGGGCUAGAGUUAGGGGAUAGUUAAGCAUGAGGUUUUGUUUUAGGGUUAUGGGUAUGGUUAGCCUUAGGUUUAUCGUGAAGUUUAGGUUAAGGAUGUGGGUUAGGUUAAGGUUAGGUGGUUGGGUUAAGGUUAGGGUUAGGUUGAGGGUUAGACUUAGUUGUAGGUUUAGGGUUAGUUUUUUGGGUCAAUGUUAGGGUCAGGUUUAGGGUUAGGUUUAGGGUUAGGGUUUGGUUUAGGGUUAGGGCUAGGGCUAGGGUGAAGUUUAAGUUAAGGGUGAGGGUUGCGCUUAGGGUUAGCCUUAGCGGUUAGGUUUAGGGUUAAGGUUAGGAUUAAGUUGAGGGUUAAGGUUAGGUUUAGAGUUAGGAUUAGGGUUAGUAUUAGGGUUAAGUCAUGGUUAGGUUUAGGGCUAGGUUAAGGUUAGAGAUAGGGUUAGGUUGAGGGUUGGGGUUAGGUUUAGAUGUUAGUGUGAGGGUUAGUGCUAGGUUUCCAUUUAAGCUGAGUGUGUAGGGUAAGUUUUAGGGUUAGGAUUAGGGUUAGAGUUAGAGUUAGGUUCAGCGUUAGGGUUAAGUUUAGGGUUAGGGUUAGGUUUAUGGUUGGGGUCAGGGUUAGGGGAAGAUUUAGUGUUAUGUUUCAUUUUAGGGUUAGGGUUAGGGUGAAGUUGAUUUAAGCAAGACGGUUAGGGUUAGGGGUUAGGUUUCAGGUUAGGGUCAGGGUUAAGUUUAGGGUUAGCUUUAAGUUUUUUUUUUUAGGUUUAGGUUUACGGUUAGGUUUAGGUUUGGUGUUAGUUUUGCUUAGGGUUAGGGUUUGAAUGAAAGGGUAGGUUUAGGGUUAUGGUUAGGGUGGAAUUUUGGUUAAGGGUGAGGGUUCGGCUUAGGGUUAGGGUUAGAGGUUAGUGUUUCAGUUAGGUUUAGGGUAGAGUGAAAAUUAGCGUUAAGUUUCGGGUUAGGGUAAGAGUUAGAGUUAUGUUUACAGUUAAGGUGAGGGUUUUGGGUAAGUGUUACAGUUAGGGUUAGGGUUAGGGUUAGUGUUAAGGUUAGGUUUAAAUUUAUUGUAGGCUUAAAAUUGGGUUUAAGUUUAGGUUAGGUUUAGGGUCAGGGUUAGGGGGACAUUUAGUGUUAUCUUUAGUUUAAAAAAAAUUUUUUUUUUUUAGGUUCAGGGUUAGGGUUAGCGUGAAGUUUAUGUUAAGCAUGACGGUUAGGGGUUAGGGUUAGGGUUAGGGCUAGGGUUAUGUUUAGGGUUAGUGUUAGGUUUCGUUAGGAUUAGGCUUUGAAUGAAGUUAGGGUAGGUUUAGGGUUACGGUUAGGGUGAAAUUUUGGUUAAGGGUGAGGGUUUGGUUUAGGGUUAGGGUUAGCAUUAGACUUAGGGUUAGUGCUUAGGUUUAGGUUUAGGGUUAAGGUUAGUUUUAGCCUAAGGUUUAAGGGUAGAUUUAGGGUUAGGGGUUAGUGUUUCGGUUAGGUUUAGGGUAGGGUUAUAAUUAGGGUUAAGUUCAGGGUUAGGGUAAGAGUUAGAGGUACAUUUACAGUUAAGGCGAAUUUUUCGGGUAAGUGUUAUGGUUAGGGUUAUGGUUCGUUUUAGGGCUAGGGUUCAGGUUAGAGUUAGGGUUCGGGGUUAGAGUUAGGUUUAAGAAUAUGGUAAGGCUAAAUAUAGGGUUAAGUUUAGGUUAGGGUUAGGGUCAGAGUUAGGAUUAGAAUUAGUUUAAGGGUGAUGUUUAGGGUCAGAAUUAUUGUACAGGUUAGGUUUAGGGUUACAGGUGGGCCAAGGUUAAGUUAGGGUUAGGUUUAGGGGUAGGGUUUGGGUUAAAGUAAGGGAUAGCUUUAGGUUAGGGUUAGGGUGAAGUUUAAGAUAGGCUGAGGGUUAAGGUUAGUGUUAUGGCUAAGGUUUGGGUUAGUUUUCAGGUUAUUGUUAAGGUUAUGUUUAGGGUUAGGGUUAAGUUUACGGGUUCUGUUUAGUUUUAGAGUUUGGGUUAGAUUUUAGGUUGGGGUUAGGGUUACGGUCUGUGUUAGGUGUUGUGGUUGGGGUGAGGGUUAGGUUUAGGGUUAGGGUUGGGUAGGAUUAGGAUUAUGGUUAUGGUAAGGUGUUAGGAUUUAGAGUUGUAAUUUAGGGUUAGGGUUUGGGGGAGGGUUCUGGUUAGGCAUUGUGGUUCUGUUCAUGGUUAGGUUUGGUUUAGGGUUAGUGUUGGGUUUUUGAUUAGGUUAGAGUUAGGGUGAGAGUUAGGGUUAUGUUUUGGGAUAGGCUUUGGUGUUGGGGUUAGGGUUUGGGUUAGGGUAGGGUUAUCGUUAGGGCUUAGUUGUUCUGGUUAGGGUUAGGUUUAGGGAUAGCAUUAGGGUUAGGGUUGGGGGAUAUGGUUAGGGGUUAGGGUGAGGGUUAUGUUUAGGUUUAGAAUUAAAGUGAGGAUUUAGGGCAACUGUUAUGGUUAGGGCUAGAGUUCUAGUUAGGGUUAGGGUAGGGGUAAGUUUACGGUUAAGGCUAGGUUUACAGAAAAGUGUAGGGCUAGGUUAGGGUUAGGGUUAGGUUUAGAGUUAGUCUUAGCACUAGGGUUUAGGAUUAGGUUUAGGGUGAGGGUUAGAGAUAUAGUUAGGUUUAGGGUUAGGGUUAGGCCUAGGGUUAGAUUAGAGUUAUGGUAGGUUUUAGGGUUUUGUUUAAGUUCAUGGUAGGGUUAAGGUCAGGUUAUGGUUAGGGUCAGGGUUAAGAUUAGGAUUAGGUUUAAGCUGAGGGUUAAGGCCAGAUUUAUUGUAAGGGUUAGGUUUAGGGUUAAAGGUGGGCCAAUGUUAAGGUUAGAGUUAGGUUUAGAGGUAGGGUUAGGGUUAAAGUUAGGGUUACCUUUAGGUUAGUGAUAGGGCUAAUUUAAAGAUAGGUUGAGGGUUACAGUUAUGGUUAGGUUUAGAGUUAGAGUUAGUGCUAGGAUUUAGGGUUAGGGUUAGGGUCAGUUUUAGAGUUAUGGUUAGCUUUAGGGUUAGGGUUCGGGUAGAGUUAAGGUUAGGGUUAAGGGUAAGGUUAGGGUAAGGGUUAGGUUAGGUCAGGAUUCUGGUUAGGAUUAGUUACAGGGUUAGGGUUAGGGGUUCGGUUGAGGGUUAGUGUUAGGUUUCGGUUAAACUGAUGUUUUAGGGUAUUAUGGUUAGGGUCAGGGUUAGAGUUAGGAAUAGGGUUAGGUUUAGGGAUAGGGUUAGAGUGAGGGGAUAGUUUAGGGUUAGGUUUAGUUUUAGGGUUAGGCUUAGGUUUAGGUUUAGGAUGAGGGUUAGUGUUAGGGAUAGUGUUUGCUUAGGUGUUUGGGUUAAGGUUAGGGUCAGGUUAGGGUUAGGUUUAGGUUUAGGCUUAGGGUUAGGGUUAGUGUUAUGGUUAGGGUUAGUUGUUUGGCUUAAUGUUAGGGUCAGAUUUAGGGUUAGGUUUAGGGUUACAGUUAAGGUUCAGUUUAGGGUAAGGGUUAGGGUGAAGUUUAAGUUAAGGGUGUGGGUUGAGCUUAGGGUUAGCGUUAGUGGAUAGGGUUAAUUUUAGGAUUAGUUUUCGGGUUAGGGUUAGGGUAAGUGUUAACGUUAAGUCAUGGUUAGGUUUAGGACUAGAUUAAGGUUAGAGAUAGGGUUAGGUUAAGGGUUGGAGUUAGGUUUAGAUGUUAGGGUGAGGGUUGUUGCUGCGUCUCCAUUUAAGCUGAGUGUGUAGGGUAACUUUUAGGGUUAGGAUUAGGAUUAGAGUUAGAGGUAUGGUCAGGGCUACCUUAAUUUUAUGGUUAGGGUUAGGUUUAUGGUUAGGAUUAGGGUUAGGGUCAGAGUUGGGGGAGAUUUAGUAUUAUGUUUAGCUUUAGGGUUAGGGUUAGGGGGAGACCGUGUUAUGUUUAGUGUUAGGGUUAGGAUUUGGGUGAAGUUUAUGUUAAGCGUGAUUGUUAGGGUUCCUGGUUAAGGUUCAUAUUAGGGUCAGGGUAAUGGUUAGGUUUAGGGUUAUGGUUUGGUAGGGUUAGGAUUAUGGUUAAUGGUAAGGUGUCAGGGGUUAGAGGUGUAGUUUACGGUUAGGGUUUGGGUGAGGAUUCCGGUUAGAUAUUGUGGUGCUGGUCAGUGUUAUGUUUUGUAUAGGGUUAGGAUUAGGUGCUUUCACAAUCUCUUAAAGCUAAGACUAUGUAUUUGCGCCUCUGGAAGGAUAAAUCCACUGGGAUGAAGUUUUUCAGAUGAAGCCUUGCGUUUGCAAGAGCAAAUGAGGCAUACAUUGCAGGAAAGAGGAAGGACAAAAAGAUUCUCUCCUUCUGCCUGCUUUGCUCAGAGGAGUGGAUGAAGUCAGGGAGUUCUCCCUUUCACUGAGAAACAUGCAGGCUGCUGUUGCCUGUGCGCUCUCUUAUUUGGAAGAGAGUCUGCAGUUACACACUUUGAACUGUGGAAAGGCACCGGGGUUUCUAAGGAUUACAUCAGGAGCUUAGUUUCCCUGGGCCAAAAUGAGCCUUCACAAUAGCUUAACACUAACACUGCAUACUCGUUCCACUUCCAGAAUACGGCUACCGCAAGACAGUUCUCCGGAGGAAAACUUCCCUUCACUAAGGGCAGAUUGGCAGAGCUCAUUGCAGGAAAGCGAAACCAACUGACAGUUUUCUCAUUCUAACUGCUGUCGUCUGAGGAAUGGAUGAAGUCAGAGUAUUCUUUUUCACUGAGAUACACAAAAUCUGAUGUUGCCUCUGAGCUCUGUUCUUGGCAAAUAACUGAAACUGACGUACAUUCAUGUGGGGAAACACAUGGCUUUGCUAGGAUUUCUCUAGGCAAUGUGUUUUCCCUGGGCCUCACAUCAGGGCAACACUG